rnacentral:rRNA from 1 species
GCCAUGCCGCGUGAGUGAAGAAGGCCUUCGGGUUGUAAAGCUCUUUUGUCAGGGAAGAAAAGGGAUUGGCUAAUAUCUGCUCCUCAUGACGGUACCUGAAUAAUAAGCACCGGCUAACUACGUGCCAGCAGCCGCGGUAAUACGUAGGGUGCAAGCGUUAAUCGGAAUUACUGGGCGUAAAGCGUGCGCAGGCGGUUUUGUAAGACUGACGUGAAAUCCCCGGGCUCAACCUGGGAAUGGCGAUGGUGACUGCAAGGCUAGAGUUUGGCAGAGGGGGGUAGAAUUCCACGUGUAGCAGUGAAAUGCGUAGAUAUGUGGAGGAACACCGAUGGCGAAGGCAGCCCCCUGGGACAAAACUGACGCUCAUGCACGAAAGCGUGGGGAGCAAACAGGAUUAGAUACCCUGGUAGUCCACGCCCUAAACGAUGUCUACUAGUUGUCGGGUCUUAAUUGACUUGGUAACACAGCUCACGCGUGAAGUAUACCGCCCGGGGAGUACGGUCGCACGAUAUAAACUCUCAGGAGUUGACGGGGACCCCCACAAGCGGUGGAUGAUGUGGAUUAAUUCUAUGCGCCGCGCAAAACCUUACCUACGCUUGACAUGUGUGGAAUACUUGGAGAGAU